AUGCCUUGCUUUGAUGUCAGUGAUGAGCCUGGGAGAAGAAUUCAAGAAUUAAAGAACAUGAACCAUAUUCGAGGAAUAUUGGAGAUAAGUGGCCUCUGCAGCGUCAUGGGUAUGGUGCAAUCUGCUGAGGCUGAAUUAGAUAAGAAGAUUUACAUUGAUACAUUGAUUCUGUCGUGGCACGAGUCGAUCAGGCCUGAAAAGCACAACAGUGGCCAGGAGAUGGAAGUGCUUGAAGGCCUGCGCCCUUGCUCCAAUAUCAAACAUCUGGAAGUCAAGUUUUAUAUGGGCGAUGGGCUCCAUCCAAGUUGGCUCCAUGAAGAUGUGCUAAGCAGCUUGGCGUCGCUCUCGAUCAGCUCAUGUCCUAACGUUGCAACCCUUUUCGGCGAACCCUCCAGAACAGGCGGUAGCACCAGCAGCUCUACCGGGUUCCGGUCACUCACCAAGCUGUGCAUUACCUGGUGCAGAAGGCUAAGAGGCCUUGACAAUUUCCUGCAUCCAGAUAACCUGCCGGCGAUCAAGGUGGUAAGGAUCUCAAACUGUGAGGACCUAGCGUCACUGCCAACCAAGAGCCUUGGGGGCUUUGUUCAUCUGGAGGAUCUGGAGGUGUCUCACUGCUGGAGCCUCGACUGGGAGCAAAGCUUGGCCUUGCCCGCGUCGCUGAAAGUACUCAAGCUUGAGGCAUGUGGGGAGUUCUCCGAUUCGACGCUCAGCUGCCUCCGCGGCCUCGUCGCUCUUGCCAGCUUGGACCUACAGUUCUGCCCGAGCAUCGAGUCCAUUUGCACCGAAACCUGGAGCGGCCUAGUGUCACUGCAGAACCUGAAGAUCGUAUGCUGCCAGGGACUGAAUUCGAUUGGAGGACCAGGCUCGAUUGCACGUAUAAAAGACGUGGAUAUCAGGCACUGCCCCAAGCUGAAAGAGCUAGUGCAGCCGUUUCGUAGAGGCUGCUACUGCUAG
rnacentral:rRNA from 1 species